rnacentral:snRNA from 1 species
AUCGCUUCUCGGCCUUUUUUGGCUUAGAUCAAGUGUAGUACCAAGUUUAAUAUCUGAUACGUCCUCUAUCUGAGGACAAGAAUAUUAAAUGGAAUCUUGGAAUUAGGAGAUGGAAUAGGAGCUUGCUCCGUUCACUCCACACAUCGACCUGGUAUUGCAGUACCUCCAGGAACGGUGCACUAAAA